GUGAGAGAUUGUUAGAUGUAUAUCCUAAAAGUCAAUUGUUGGCUGACACAUUUUUAUUCUAUGAUACAAAUUUAUACUUAAAACUAUUGAUUUAAUCAAUAAAGAAUAAUUUUUUUUUCAUUCAAGUAUUUUGUGUUCUUGAAUCGUUCUUGAAAUUGAUGUUACAAUACAUAUUUUCAAGUGUUGAGAAUUAGAGGCAUGUAUGAUCGAUUCUUAAAUUACUUUCAGUCAUAGCAUAGUCAUAGAUAUGGUGAUCCAUCC
rnacentral:lncRNA from 1 species